CGACGCGCCCGAGGCCCAGCCCGAGCCGCCGCCAACACAGCCCGAGCCGGUGGCGCCGCCGCCGCAAACGCCGCACGAGACGGUUCGGCCGUACUCGCCGCGGCGCUUCCCGCUGCCCGACGCGGCCUACCAGGCCAUGGUGGCGUGCAUGCCCGACGGACACCUGCCGCCCGCGCCCGACAGCCCGCAGCCGGAGCUGCCUCCGGACGAAGACACCAGCUCGCUGUCGCCGCUCUCGGUGUCCCCUUACGGCGGCGACGACCCCGACGACGCCGAGUGGGAGCCCGCGCUCGAGAAGAACGCCUUCAGGUGAACACCCUGUAUCGCACCACCGCUGAACUGUUGCAACUCGGAAACUUGCAAUUUGGGUAGUUACACCACUGGCAAUAAGGGUACAUCAUACUGUUAAAGCCACGUUUUCACUAGGGGACAUGUCGCAGAGAUAAGUCGCCGACAUUCACGUAGUUUGUCUCUGCAACUUUGUCCCUCGACAUAUGACUUGUUCACACUAGCCAGUAGUGAACAGUAUGUCGCCCGAGGGGCGACACAAAGCGACACGCGUCCUCACUACUCAAAGUAGUGUUGCCGAACUAUCGAUAGUAAAACUAUCGAUAGUUUUCAUUCGAAAAAGCCUUCUCCAUCGAUAGGCCUAUCGAUAGUAUCGAUACUGUCGAUACUAUCGAUAGCACAAAACGAUUCAAUACUAUUGAAUAUGUGCAAUACUAUCGAUAGUAUUGUUGCUCGUGAAGAAUAAACUAUCGAUAGUAUCGAUACUAUCGAUUGUUCUAGACUAUCGAUAGUCUGUAAAUUUGCAAUAGUAUUGGGUAUGUUUAAAUUCAUUUUUACAAUAUUUCAAAUGUUUCGCUUGACUUACCAACUAACAUAUAACUAAAAAUAAUGAUCUCACUUGUAUUUAAAACUACCUGCAUUAGUUAAGUACGGCAAAUAAAAUGUAUUGCCAAUUUUGGAAACAUAUAAUUAAAUGUUAUGGUUAACUAUAUGAAAUAAUUCAAGUAUUCCAAUAACCCUAUUGUUGUGCCUAUUGACUAUUAUACCCAAAUAUUGUAAACGAUACUAUUGUAAAUUGCCAAACUAUCGAUAGUCUAGAACAAUCGAUAGUAUUGAUAGCUUUUUAUUCAAAAGCGACAAUAGUAUCGAUACUAUCGAUAGUUUAUUCUUCACGAGCAACAAUACUAUCGAUAGUAUCGAUAGUAUUGCACAUAUUCAAUAGUAUUGCCUCGUUUUGAGCUAUCGAUAGUAUCGAUAGUAUCGACAGUAUCGAUACUAUCGAUAGGCCAAUCGAUAGUCUUGCGAUAGUUUGACUAUCGAUAGACUAUCGAUAGUCUAUCGAUAGUCGACUAUCGAUCGGCAACACUAACUCAAAGGCUGUCGGGCGACUGUCGAGGGACACGAAGAUCGCGCAUGUCGACGCCCGCAGAGCAUCGACAAGCGACAAGUCUCGCGACCCGUAGAUGACAUCGCGCGGGACACGUGAAUUUCUUGUCGGGCGACAGUCGCGGGAUAAAUGUCUCCUAGUGAAAACGCGGCUUAAUACCUAGCGGAAUAGACCAACAAAGGACUGAGCGAGCGAGAUGUCACUAGCAGCAACAUUGUGUGAUAAACUAUAACAGAACCGUUUUUUGCAACUAUUUGACAGUUCGUUAGCACUCUUUGGCACGCUAAAAAUUUGAGUUCUGAGAAAUCGUGUGAAAUGAGAAAUGUGCUUCAUUUCAUAAACGUGGUGACUGAUUCAGUGAUUUAAUGGUAACUGAUUACUGAUUCAAAUAAUCCUGAAAACUGACACACAAAUGACAUCCUAAAAUCGGUUUCGUUUAACAGCUCGCGUUUGUUGCUUUAUUCCGAAGGAAUAUUAACUUGGGGCAACCGUAUUUUCGUCCACUAGUAGGCGCCACUGGCGAGUGAUAGAACCUUAUUCUACAGUGACGCUACCUACAAGUGAGUGCAAAUGCAAUGAUACAUCGUGUUUGCGCUCAACAGUUGGCGCACCCG